rnacentral:lncRNA from 1 species
GUUGGAUUUAUUACUAGAUAUAUUAUUUUUGUACUAUUGUAACUGGUAUCCUUUAAAAUUAAAAUUUGCAACUGUUUUUUUGAUGGGAUAUGGAAAUGCAAUUAACUCUGAUUUAUUGAUCCUAUGACUAGCAAUCAUUUUUUGAUAAUUUUUUAUUAUAAUUUGUGGUAGAAUCUUUGAGUUUUUUUAUAUAGACAUUUAUUUAAUUUAUAAAUAAUGACAAUUUAGUCUCUUCCUUCCAAUCCGUAUACUCCUUUACUAUUUUUUUCGAUGUCCUGCAAUAGCUAAAACUCCAGCAUAAAGUAAUUAGGAAUGAAAACAUUUUAUCUCCUAGCCUUAGUCUUUUUUUUAAAAGAAAUGCUUUUAACUUUGAAGCUAUGGAGUAUUACAUUUGCUGGAGAUAUUUUUGCAGAUAUCCUUUAUUAGGUAGGCUAAGGAUGUUCUUUUCUAUUUCUUUUUGGCUACAAUUUUUUGUUUGUUUUUAUUAUAAAUGGCUUGUGAAAUUUUUUUGAAUGUUUUUCUACCUCUUUUGAAAUGACCAUAUGAUUUUUCUCUUUUAAUCUGUUAUGGGAUAAAUUGCAUUAAUAAAUCUCUAAUGGUACAACAAUCUCGACUCCUUGUAGACUCAGUUGGUCAUUAUCUUUGUAUAUAUAUCAUUUGAUACAGUUGCUUUUAUUUUGUUUAAGAUUUUUGCCUCCAUGAUGAAGAUUGAAGUUGUAUUGUAAUUUUUUCUUGUCUGGUUUUAUGUAUAAUGUUAUACUAGCUUUAUAAAGUCAGGGGAUGUUCCUCCUUUUAUACUCCCUAAAAGAGUUUACAAUUGGAAUGAUCUCUUCCUUGUAUCUUGGCAAACUUGCUUAUAAAACUGUUGGACCUAGUGUUUUCUUUGUGGGAAAAUUUUUACUAAUGAUUAUAGGCUAGAUGGUAAUCAAAUUAUUUAACAAUCUAUUAGAAUGGUUACACUAAUCAAUCAAAACUGACCAUGGCCCUACAUGAACAGUAUAGAUGUAGAAUUGCAUAUAAGCCAAAUAUAAGGCUUAUUUAUGAUUUUAAAUUUCUAGGUGAGUUUUGUAAAUUUGUAUUUUCAGAAAUUUGCCAAUUUUACUUGUUUUUAAAGUUAUUGAUAAGUUUCUUGUAAUAUUUUAUCUUUGUAGUUGCUGUUGUAUUUAUGAUUUCUUUUUCCAUUCUUAAAAUUGUAUCUGCUCUCUCCCAUCGUCCAUCGGUUUGCGUAGGGGUUGUCAAUUUUUAUAAUUAUUUCUUUUCAUGAAUCAACAUUUUUCAUGGGUUAAUCCUUUUUACCUGAAUGUAUUUACAAAAAAAAAUUAAUUUUUUGCUCUUUCUUACUGUUAUUUCCUUUAUUCUAUUUCCUUUUCGAUUGGAUUUAGAUUUUUGUUCUUUUUGUAAUCUCAACUUUUCUUUUUUUAUUAAUAUAAAUAUUAUAAGGCUAUCACUUCCUCCAUCUACCACUUUAGCUGUAUUUCAUAAACUUUCCUAUAGAAUUGUUAUUGUUGGUUCUAAUUUUCUUAUUUGCUUUUGCUUUCUUUCUGACCCAUGAACAAUUUAGAAUUAUGCUUUAAAUUUCCAAAGGUUUUUUUUUUGGGGGGGGGAGGGGCUAUGUUUUUGUUAUUAAUUGUAUUGUGAUCAGAGAACGUGUUCCAUGAUAAUGAUUCUUUGGCCUCUGGUAAGACUUACUUUAUCGGCUGAUACAUUGUCAAUUUUUAUAACUGUUCCUGGGAACAGAAAGUGUAUUCUAGUUCUUAGAUAUAGGCAUCUAUAUAUGCUUAUUAGACAUGGUUUAUUUAUUGUGAUGGUCAAAUCAUCCCUAUUAUUACUGAUAUUUUUAUCUUGUCAAUUUCUGGCAACGAUUUAUUAAAGUCUACCUCAAUAAUAGUGUAUUGUCAAUUUCCUUUUCUUGUUUUAUCAUUUUUUUUGGUUGACAUUUUUUGAAGCUAUCUUAUUAGAAGUAUGCAAGUUUACAAUUGCUUACAUCUUUCUAAUGAAUUGGACCUUCCUUAGUAGGUAAUAAACCUCUAUCUCUAGUAAUGCUGUUUGCUUUUUUCUUUUCAUUGCUGUUUGCUUUUGCUUGUAACUCUUCUGUGAACUUGUUUUACACGUGUCUCAUGUAAACAACAUGUAACAAGAUUUUGCUUUCUAUCUAAUCUGAUAAAAAGUUUGACUCACUUACCCUUAUUGUUAUUUUAAUUAUUUGAAUUUAACUUCUACUAUUUUAUUUUAUUUAUUCUAUUGUUCUGCUUUUUAAAAUUUUUUUUUGUUCUGCUUUUUUAAAUUCUUUUUUUUACCUUCUUGACUUUUUUAUUGUUUUGUGGGGUUUUUUUUCUUAAUCUGUUUAUCUCUGGAGCUUAUACCUUAUUUUUUAAUAUUUUACUAGGUGUCCUAUAAUUUUAACAUAUAUAUGUGUCUGUGUAAUUUAAUAAAAUAUAUAACUAAUAAAGUGUGUAGUUUAGUAAGUCUUGAAGUUAGUUGUGUUUUACCUUCCUGAACAAAGUAUAGACUUUCAAAUGCCUUAUUCCUAAUUAUCAACUCCCAACUUAUAUGCCAUUUUUACCAGCAUUCUAGUUGUAUAUCAUUUUUAACCUUAUUAUUAAGAUAUUACAACUGUUGUUUACCACAGUGAUUGUCUAGAUUUACCCAUGUGUUUAUUAUUUUCUUUGCUAUCUGCUUUGGAUCUGAGACCUUCUUUCUAGGAUGAGUUUUCUUCAUCCUGGGAAUAUAUCCUGUAGAAAUUCCUCUAGUGAGUAAUAGUAAACUUUCAUUUUUUAUGUUCGUCAGAAAAUGUUAUUUUUCCAUCCUGAAAGAUAGUUUUGCUGGGUAUAGAAAUCUAGGCUGUCAAUUAUUUUCUCUCUUCAUUUCGAAGAUAUUGUUACUGCCUUCUGGCAUCCAUCAUUGUUGUUAAUAAAUAUUACCAUAAGUCUGUUUUUCCUUUGUGGGUAAUCUGUAUUUUUUCCCUGACUGCUUUAAGAUUUUCUUUUUGUCUGCAUUUGACCACAACAUGUCUUGAUGUGAAUACCCUUUUAUUUCUCCUGACUUGAAUUUUUGUGGCACAUGAUAACUUUCCUUUCAUGAUAAAACAGGAGCCACUCCAAAACAGUCAAAUUUUACUCUUGCCUAUCCUUACCCCCUAACACUUCCACCUCCUUUGAAGGCAACUGUGGGAUCAUGAGGUGACAAAAACAAGAAUGGAGAAAUGGAACCCAUAUCCUUGAUAACCUCACUGAAAACAGAUUGUCUACCUCUAGACUUCAUGCUAUAGGAAAAAAAUAAUUGCCUUUUUUGCUUAAUGUAUACUCUUUUGUCAGAUAUUCUGUGACUCCAAAAUAAUCUUAAAACAUAAUACUUUAUUUUUUCCUGUGAAAUGCAACAGAACAUUGUAACACUGCUCAAAAAUGUUUUUUAAAUGACUACUAAUCGUUUUGUAUCAGGUACAUGUAGAAAUCUGUUUUAUUUUUAUGCAUAUGCCUAAAUUAAUGACUAGUAAGAAAAUAUUAAUCACUUAUUAAAGACAAUUAGU